AAUGGGCGAAAGCCUGACGGAGCAACGCCGCGUGAGGGAUGAAGGCCUCUGGGCUGUAAACCUCUUUUAUCAAGGAAGAAGAUCUGACGGUACUUGAUGAAUAAGCCACGGCUAAUUCCGCGCCAGCAGCCGCGGUAAUACGGGAGUGGCAAGCGUUAUCCGGAAUUAUUGGGCGUAAAGCGUCCGCAGGCGGCCCUUCAAGUCUGCUGUUAAAAAGUGGAGCUUAACUCCAUCAUGGCAGUGGAAACUGUUGGGCUUGAGUGUGGUAGGGGCAGAGGGAAUUCCCGGUGUAGCGGUGAAAUGCGUAGAUAUCGGGAAGAACACCAGUGGCGAAGGCGCUCUGCUGGGCCAUCACUGACGCUCAUGGACGAAAGCCAGGGGAGCGAAAGGGAUU
rnacentral:rRNA from 1 species